rnacentral:misc_RNA from 1 species
GCCAAAGAUCCCCCAGUAGAUAAAUUAUUGGGCUAAGCUUCCUCUUGCGUGGAAGUUCUCUGACGCAAUUCUUCUUGAGCAUUCGGUUCAAAGAAGCUACCUGGUAUCUGAGACCCAUCUUGAGAUUUCGGAUACCGUUCACCCUGCAAUACUGGACCUUUAGAUUGCUCUCCAACAGUUUUCUGUUGAAACUGAUUUUGCAGGGCUUCAUCAUGAUUUUCA